rnacentral:lncRNA from 1 species
GCGCCCCACAGAACAAACAAGCGCUCAAAGAAAGACUGAAGAAGGCUUUGCACGAUAUAGAAAGCCAAGACACCAGCAACGAUGAAGUCCUACAGCUUCUAGAAGAAGCUUCCUCCACCAGCAGCAGUGACAACAAUGGGGAUAUGUUAAAUCCCAAAGGAAUUGCCAGGGCCUACAUGGACCCUUACUAAGAAUAGAGAAACGAC